GAGCCAGGCCGGCUGUGCUGCGGGGCUUUACAGCGGCCCGAGGGAAGGGUGCGUGUGAGGAGCCGUGCCCGGCCUUUCCCCGUGUCAGAGCCGUGCCCGGUGCCCGGCUGGGUGCUGCUGCUGCGUGGGGCAGUGCUCGCACCCCGGCGGCUCCCCGUGGGCCCCUCCCUCCAUGCUUGCCCUUCCCGGAGGUGCGGGAGCCCCUUCAGCAGGCGCUGACCCCCACACGGUGUGCCACGGCGCGGGGUGAGGCGGCUGUGUUGGAAAUGCCUCUCCUCUCAGGCGCUGUCUGAAAAGAAGCUUUGAAGGGCGUAACGGGAUCUGGUGGCGAAGUUUGGGCCGAAGCACUGACCUGGCAGUGACCUCAGCCCGUGCUCCUUUCGCAGAAGGAAUAAGUUGCUGGAGAAUGCCCUCAGGGCUGUGCCUCGCUGGCAGUUAGGCUCGUGUUGGGGCCGCUCCUUUGGGGUACAAAUAGCAGAUGCCCUUUGGUGAAAGGUAAGGGAUGGCAGCUCUUCCCUCUUGGCUGUUAUUUGACCCCAGAGACCUCCUUCUGCUUAUCCCCUCCGUAAGUUUCACAUUUGGCGCUGCUGUUCUGCUUUCAUUCUCAACAGCAGCGGGAUUGCAUGCUUUCCCAUUGAUCAGACUGCUGGUGGGGCCGUACGGUGGGUUAAGAGAGCAGGCCUGUUCAGCUGUGCCAAAGAAUGCCUGCUUCUGAGCACCACGUUGGCCUUCAGGAGUCCCAUUUGUCCGGUAACAUCAAGCCAUCAGCACUGCGGAUGUUAGUGGACGUGAACUAAGAUCAGUGUAAUAAAGGAGUGUGAAAUGCACCUGCUUCACACAGGGCUGUGCUUUACCAGACCCUCACACUCGUGUGUCCUUCCUUAGGACUUGUGAGCAUGGAAAAGUUGGGAGCGAAGGACACAGCAAGCCAGCAGUGUGCGUGUGAGUUUCCCUGUGGCAAAGCUGAUGCAUAGCAUUGCUUUGUGGGAAGUAGUGAAGUGUGUGAGCUCGGUCACAUGAGGGGGAAUGGUGGUGUUUUCCAUCGGUGUGAGACGCCUGCAGAAUGGGUUGCUAUGAAGUGCUGCAGAAGUUGUGAGCGCUGCACAGCGGCGCUUCUCGCUCUGGUUUGCCUCGCGUUGACCUCGAGUGGGGUUUUGUCAUCGAAACUGAUGGAGUCUCAUCCAGAACUUAGUUAAAAGCAAACCAAAGCUAACAUCUACCCACUGAAAGCGCAGGCAGUGCGUUGAUAAGAGUGGCUUUGACAGUCUGCUUGCAAUCACAGCCAAGGACAAGCUUGAUCCCAGCGCUGGGGUGCAGUAAGCAGAAUGCUUUUGUUUGCUUUGCUUGGCCUUUGUGAGGACUGCGCUUCCAAAGUUUGGAUGGGAGAGUGUUGCCCAUGCUUUAGAGCCCAUCUAACCCUGGUGUUUGGUGGUACCAUCUCGGGCAGGUUGGUGACUGCGGGGAUCAAACGUAGCACUUCUGCCUUCUGACCCAUCACACUGUAUUGCUGAUGGGAGGUUUAGGUUGGAUAUUAGGAGGAGGUUUGUCACUCAGAGGGUGGUGACGCACUGAACAGGUUGCCCAAGGAGGCUGUGGAUGCCCCAUCCCUGCAGGCAUUCAAGGCCAGGCUGGAUAUGGCUCUGGGCAGCCUGGGCUGCUGGUUGGCGACCCUGCACAUAGCAGGGGGUUGAGACUCAAUGAUCAUUGUGGUCCUUUUCAGCCCAGGCCAUCCUAUGAUUCUAAAGCCUGGCUGUGUGCAGGAUGAGAGCAGGCUUCCCUUGCUGUACAUAAUGUGAGUUGUAAGGGGAAAGCCUUCUGACUGCAGACUGAAUGCCAGCCUUUCCCCCAAACUGCACGUUUGCACUGCUUUAAAACCUAAAUGUGUUUUUUCGUUCAAAAAGCAGGUGCCCCAAAUGGCACCCUUUCCAAGCUCUGUGCUGCUGCUCAGGCUUUCCCAAGCUGCUGCAGGGUGACACUAGCAAGGUCCUGUUUCAUUUCACUGUUCUCAAACUCUGCUCCCAGCCCUGUGAAACCAGAGGGGCAGCAGGAAUGCUUUUCCUCCCCUUGGCCUGUGGGCUCACCCAUGCUUCUUGCUUCAGCUCUGUGUUCUUUUGGAGCAGCACAUGGGGCCGUUUCCUUCGUGAACAACACAGCAUGCUGAGCAGAACGGUGCGUUUUGGAGUCGUGGUUCAGAAGGUAUUUGCAGGCAGUGGUGAUUCAUGAUGAAUAAUAGAACCCCUGUGAUAACUGCCAGCCCAGUUUCUCAGCAUACUUGGGAUGUAUCUCAUUCUUCUGGGCUGGUCUAGGAAAAGCUGAUUUCAUUCACAAAGCUUAGAUAAUCACAGAGCGUGGGCGGAGGGGUUAAAACUGCAGUGAUUGCCUCAUGUGCUCGUGGUUACAUUGGUAAAUCCAUCUUCUUUUUAAUGAUGAUGAGUGAACAAAGGUGAAGAUUAACGCUCCCUUUUUGAUGGGCUCUAAUAAGGAAGGUUCCGACAAGUGCAAGAUGCUGCUUUGGUCCUUCUGGAUUGCUGCUCUUUGUAGGCUUUCCAGACUCCUUCUCGGUGUAGGGUUUCUGUUUUGGCAGUGGGUUUGGUGGUGCUCAGCCCUGGGCGAUGCAGCUGUAUGACAGUGGCCCCUCUGGAUGGGGUGCUGUGUCCUGCAGCGCUCCUCUGGGAGCCCUAGGAAGGAGCUGUGUGUCUGUACCAGCUGCACAAGGGUAAAUAUUUGUGAGAUCAGGCCCUUGGUUACAGCAGAUUAACGUUUAUUUAAAUAUUUGGGGUAUUUAUAAACGCCGUGGAGGUGGCUUCUGGGUAAUAAGCAAAUGACUGCUCAGAGCAGAACCACCCUGGUGGCAUUUACUUCCUUUGUCUUUCUGCAACCCUGUGCAAUCAGGACGCCGUGCGUUUCCUCUGCGAGGAGGGGAAGGCUUCACUGCAAUGCAAAGGGCACAGCGUGAGCAGGAGCUUCUGCAAGGGGUUGGGAUGAGGCCUGCUCCUGGUUCACGCAUGGUUUGCUUUUCUGGCCGAUGGUCAGCAGGAUUUUCUCCUCCCAGGAGGCAGCAGUCCCUUCCCAGACCUCAACCCCAGUGUUCCGAUGCAGCGGUGCAGAGCGUUCACCACGUGCUCAGCCCUGGACCUGCAUGUGGGAGAGGUGUGGGCCUUUAUGGGGUGCUGCGGUACAGGAGAGUAGGACGGGAGCUGCCUGUGAGGCGGCAGUGCUCGGCACCUGUUCUUAAGGCUUCGCUUCUGCAUGGCAGGCGGCUGCUGCUCCAUCGCUGUGGAGCUGUGGCUCUGAGAUGGCUGCUGGCUUGGAGGUUUCGGUUCUGCAUGGUAAGGUGUGCUGCACAGGGUGGGAGGGACAGCACAAGCAGAUCUCUGUGCUAGAAAUCAUUACUUCAUACUCCACCAAACCUGAGCCGUGGGCCGAUCGCUUUGGUGUCUGCUGGGAAGUCCUCAGGAAGAGCUGAGCUCUUCUCUUGCGUUGUCUGCUGCAGCCAGAGGACCUUCCUCGUGGAAGGCACUCAUUGAACGUGCACGGGGAUGCAUUCAUUUGGCCAGUCUCCAUAGGAAGCCAAGACCCUCUUCUUGCCACACGUGGGUCUGAAUGGUAGCAUUCCUCCCAGCGUGGUCUUCAGGUGGAGGAGGGCAGCGGGGAGGGCUGUUGCUCUGCGCUCACCCUGCAGUUUGGCUGUGCUCUUUAGGACUCUGGUCCAUACCUUCCAAUGCUGGGGCGGCUCUCGGUGUCGGUUCUGUGUCCUGUUUGCUUGCUGAUAUUUCCUGUGAUGUUCCGGAACAACGUUACCAGCUCCCAUUCCUCCUCAUCAGACUGGGCUAAUGACUCUGACCUUUUGUUUGUAAAGCAGAAGGAAAAGGCUCAACAAAAUACUGGAGCUUAUUUACUAUCAUUACCGCAAUGAUGAGCAACGCCACUUUGCGGUGCUUCAAAGAGGCUUCGUUUAUAAGAUGCUGGAAAUCCCGAGAGAGAGAGAGAGAGAGAAAACGUUUCAGAUGGAGGAGGAGGAGGGGGAAGGUUCCUCCCGGCCCAGUGCUGUUAGCAUACAUGAGGUAAUGCCUGCAGCCCUCGCCCUUCCAUCUGGCUCAGUGCAAGAGCCGCUCGCAGCCUUUGCUUCCCUGUGCAGCAUCCAGGCUGGUCGGUGUCACUGCAUGGGAGAGAGCUCUGCCUAAACAUGCUCUCACACUGCACGCUUUUGCAGAGCGCUCUGUUGACCUCUCCUAUUACCCCUAAUAAGAUUGAACGUGGUUUUAAUUUCUCGUUUCCUCUUUCACUGGAUGCCCUUUCCU
rnacentral:lncRNA from 1 species